GAGUUUGCACGCUGGUAAUGUUGAGCAGUCUAGCGUUGAUCGCGAUCAUGUGACAGACAGACACUCAACAGAGAAACAUCAGGCGCAAGUAAAAGGAGUUUGCACAGCGCGAGACGAAGUGAACAUUGCCGUGCUUUUAAACCCCGUUAUUCCGUUAUAACCGUUCUCACAGAAAGGCGGGAGCGGUUAAAGUGCUGAAGUGAAGCUGGGGACGAUUAAAAGACAUUCACCGAAGACCAGACGCGCAAAUCUCAGCGGGCAUGCGGGACUUUUUGGACUUAAUUCAUCAUUGUAAAAACAUAUAAGAGCUGUUAUUUGCCUUUUAUCAGUUUGAACCUGUCAACUGAUGGUUGUCGGCGAAACACAUCUGCAAAAUUGUGUGUGAAAAAAGUAACAGCAGGGCAAGACUUCUGGAGUAAAUAAAACGGGGGACGCAGAUUAAACCCCUCCGUCGGCUUUUUGUCAGGGGAAAGUAGUGUUUCCCCUUAGCACGUAUUUAUUUUUUAAGGUUUUUAGGCAAAAUUUCAAACAUGGUUGGGGAAAUGGAAACGAAGGAGAAACCCAAGCCGACUCCUGAUUAUCUGAUGCAGCUCAUGAACGACAAGAAACUGAUGAGCAGCCUGCCAAACUUCUGCGGCAUCUUCAACCAUCUCGAGCGACUUUUAGAUGAAGAGAUUGGACGGGUACGGAAGGACAUGUACAAUGACACACUGAACGGCAGCACAGACAAAAGGACGUCUGAACUCCCGGAUGCCGUGGGGCCCAUCGCACAACUCCAAGAAAAACUCUAUGUGCCUGUCAAAGAGUACCCAGAUUUUAAUUUUGUGGGAAGAAUCCUGGGGCCCCGCGGCCUGACAGCCAAACAACUGGAGGCAGAGACGGGGUGCAAGAUUAUGGUGCGAGGCAAAGGAUCCAUGAGAGACAAGAAGAAGGAAGAACAAAACAGAGGAAAACCGAACUGGGAACAUCUCAAUGAAGACCUCCAUGUGCUCAUCACUGUGGAAGAUUCUCAAAACCGCGCCGAGAUCAAACUCAAAAGAGCCGUGGAAGAGGUGAAGAAACUGCUGGUUCCUGCGGCGGAAGGAGAAGACAGUCUGAAGAAAAUGCAGCUGAUGGAACUGGCCAUACUCAACGGCACAUACAGAGACGCCAAUAUCAAGUCUUCAGCAUUAGCCUUCUCGUUGGCCGCUUCCGCACAAGCUCCUCGCAUCAUAACCGGCCCCUCACCGGUCAUGCCCACCCUGCGUACCCAAGCGCCCAGUGCUCCCACCCUCAUGCCGCUCAUCCGACAGAUCCAGACCUCUGCCCUCAUGCCCACGGGCACGCCUCACCCCGCCACUCUCGUACCACAGACCCCUGAGUCGGGAAUCAUCUAUGCACCCUACGAAUACCCCUACACCUUGGCACCUUCCAUCCUUGAAUACCCCAUUGACUCCAGUGGCGUUUUAGUUACGGACUGGAGAUUGAUUUGUGGUGACAUAGGUAUGGCAUUUCCAACAAAGGGCUAAUAAUGCUCAGAUGUGUAACAGCCUUCAACCUAUACAAGUGUUAAAAUGCUUUUCUUUACAGCUGCCUUGGAACAAAAACAGCCUUACAAAUGAAAAAACUGUAUUUUUUUAAGAAACAAAAGACUUAAGGUCAUUAUGGAUUAUGUUUACACUGGUCUCAACUGUUUUGUUGUCUUAUUCACAGAUCUUAACAGAACAUUUUCAGAUAAAUACUGAUAAUUAAACAUUUUAUUACAUUCCUCAGUUUGAAAUAUUUGUUUAGUGUGUAAUAUUUGGAUUACUUAUUUCGCUUGUAAUUGUAUCUUAGAUUUACAGUAUUAUUGCUAAAGUAAUGAAAGUGCUUGUGAAAAAUGUACUACAUGAAAUAACCUGUAGUGAAUUCCUUUUAUCCAAGGCAUCAUGUGUUCAAGGGCUCUGAAACGGUUGUUUUGUGAAAUUGCUUAAGUAAAUCAUGGGAAUUUUACUUUGAUGGAGGUCUUAUAAGAAAGAAAUGUCACUAUUGCCUUGUAAUUUAGUCUUACAAACCUUGUUAAACAAAUUUUGUGUUGAGUGUAAUGUAGUUUGGUGAAUAAUCUGAUUUUAACCCUUUGUUUUGUUGGCAAUGUUGCGCUCUGAGCAGGUGCCGUGACUACUAAAGUACGAAGGCAGGAUAUGCGCGUCCAUCCUUACCAAAGGGUAGUGAGCGCAGAACGAGCCGCCACCGGCAACUAACCAAUGACCUUUGAGCUCUCAACUCUUCACCCAAUGACGACCUGACCAUUGCCUGCCUGCUGACCAGCUCUCUGGCUCUCGUCCUUCGCUUCUAUGUUUUGGCGGCCUGCCGGCGAGCCCAGAAGCGCCUUUAAUUCGGUUAACACAGCUGAAAAGCCGUGAUGGCCCCACGCCACCACCCGCAGAUCAAACUGAAGACCUCUGUGGUCAGGUGACCUGGGCUACCCUGCCUGCACUGAAAUGUCAAAGCAAUAACGCUGUCUGAGCAACACCUAAAUCCCACUGAUAGCCUUGCACGCAAGCACAUAUACGCAUACACUAAAUAAUCAUGUGUUUAAUUCAUUAAUAUGUAAUGUUAAACUCACAUUUUUCUUGCAGUUCUCACUCAAUCUGGAAGAGAUUAAAACACAUUUAGUUUUAAACGUAUGUUCAUAAGGGAUGUAAAAGCCAUGCUUGCCUACCAGCGUUUCAUUAAGUGAGCUGUUAAAAUGCAUUCAGACACAUGAUCAAGUAUAUAAACACUAAACAUCCCUAAUGUUUUUUGAUAUGAGGGUGCUGCACAGAAAAGUGAAUAUAUAUAUAUAUUUUUUUUUCACAAGGGAUCCUUUUGUAUUCAAAAGCAGUAUUGUCAAGAUGUGAGAACAAACAUUUAUUUCUUUAUAAUGACAGAGAAAUUUUAGAGACCAAAACAGUGUCUUUUUUUAAAAUUUAAACAAGUGCCUUAUUUUACACACGAUCAUCAAAUACAAGCAAACGUGAAUGUCCAUUAAUGUGUCAUAUCAGGUCAUUCUGUUUAAUUCCUCUUCUAUGAUUGAAGCCGUUACACUCGAACUAAAAUUUUUUAUGUAUUUUAUCAUUUUUCUUUACAAAGUUUUUCCAGCCUGAUCUCACAGGAAUUCGUACGUAUUUUACGACUUGGCUCAUUUGUAUCAUUUCGUACGAAGUACAUCGUACAAAUAGUACUUAUUUUAUUAUUUUAUUUUAUUUUGAUUGUACUAAUCAUAAAAAACAAUAAGGAAACCCCACCCCUAACUGCAAUUUCACAGGCGAAAGAAACCCGUACAAAACGUACAAAUGUGGUCAUACGAAUUGCAGAGAGAUUUGAGCGCUGAUUUUACACUCAAACUACAGUUUUUUAUGUAUUUUAUCAUUUUUCGUUACAAAGUUUUACCAGCCUGAUCUCACAGGAAUUCGUACGUAUUUUACGACUUGGCUCAUUUGUAUCAUUUCGUACGAAGUACAUCAUACAAAUAGUACUAAUUUUAUUUUAUUAUUUUAUUUUAUUUUGAUUCUACUAAUCAUUAAAAAAACAACAAUGAAACCCCGCCCCUAACUCCAAUUUCACUGGCGAAAGAAAACCGUACAAAACGUACGAAUGUGGUCGUACGAAUUGCAGAGAGAUUUGAGCGCUGAUUUUACACUCAAACUACAGUUUUUUAUGUAUUUUAUCAUUUUUCGUUACAAAGUUUUACCAGCCUGAUCUCACAGGAAUUCGUACAUAUUUUACGACUUGGCUAAUUUGUAUGAUUUCGUACGAAGUACAUCGUACAAAUAGUACUUAUUUUAUUUUAUUAUUUCAUUUUAUUUUGAUUCUACUAAUCAUUAAAAAAAUAACAAUGAAACCCCGCCCCUAACUCCAAUUUCACUGGCGAAAGAAAACCGUACAAAACGUACGAAUGUGGUCGUACGAAUUGCAUUGAGAUUUUAGCGCUGAUUUUACACUCGAACUACAGUUUUUUUAUUUAUUUUAUAAUUUUUCGUUACAAAGUUUUACCAGCCUGAUCUCACAGGAAUUUGUACGUAUUUUACGACUUGGCUAAUUUGUAUCAUUUCGUACGAAGUACAUCGUACAAAUAGUACUUAUUUUAUUAUUUUAUUUUAUUUUGAUUGUACUAAUCAUAAAAAAAACAAUAAUGAAACCCCACCCCUAACUGCUAUGUCACGGGGCGAAAGAAAACCGUACAAAAUGCACGAAUGUUGUCGUACGAAUUGCAGUGAGAUUUGAGCGCUGAUUUUACCCUUUUUGGAAUCACACAACCUACAGUAUAAGUACAUUAGGGAGCUUUAUGUUUACCAUCUGUUUGUAUUUCAGAUGUGCAAAUUUUCUUAUGUUUUUUUUUGUAGUCUGUUACACUACAGUGAUGAUCCCAUACAGCUUUAUUAAUCUGUUACUUAGCUAAACCAGUACUAAAGACGUGUUGGUUAUAAUUUGGUCACUAUUUCAGUAUUUCUUUCUUUGCAUAUAUCUCAAGAAGCAAAUUCAAUAGACUGAAAAUGAUAAACGUUUGGGGUUUAUUAGAACAGAAAUAGUUUUUAUGAGGACUUGAAGUGUGCUGAUGAGCAUCACAUUUAUUCACACUUUUCUAUGCAAUUGAUUUUUACAGUUUUUGGUCUUCCAGUCCAAAAUUCAGAGCAUUAAAGAGCGGAAGAACAAUUAAACAAAAAUGUAUAAAUAACAGAACAAGAUUUUGUUUUGAUUAUAAUAACUGGAUUUUUUGGACAUCAUCUCUUCUUUAUCGUAUUGGUUUAUGCAGGGCAAACGCAAAUGAGUGCAUGUACAUUUUUCUCAACAUGUAUUUUUGCUAAAAGAAAAGGCCUGCAAAUACAUUAAAUGAUGUAGUUUGGUUUUACAAGGAUCUUUCAUCCAGUUAGCUUGAACAGGAACUGAAGUUGUUUGUAAAUGUUUUUGUUUGUUUGUUUGUUUGUUUUGUUUUUUGCCUUCCAUGCAGUAUUACUACAGUGUGAAUGUGUGUGUGUGUGUGUGUGUUUGAGUGAUUGUGUGAAUGUUUUGUGUCACAUGUUUAUUGUAUAUGCCAAUGAACUGCAAUUCUUCAUUCAAGUUUGAUUGUUACUUUUUUGCAAACCCAAGCAGAUCCCUGCAUUGGUAAAUAUAAGGUCCUAUUUAUAACCAUUGUAACAUUUUAUAAUGUAUUUUUCUAUCAUAUUUUGUAUGUGAGAAAUAACAUUAAAUCACAUUUCCAGAUAUGAA